UACAUAGUUCCCAAUAUUAGUUCAACUCUCAAAUGUUGCUCUCCUACGAAGGGAAUCGGAAGGAAACGCGUCUUGACACAGGAGAGAACGAAACAUCAAGCAAACUAAAAAAAUUGCCUGUGGUUUUGUUAGGUCUUUCGAAUCAGCGAGGCGUUCAAACCAAAUUUGAACGUAACUAGAAAGGAAACAGCACUGUUUUAGCGCCGCGAAAGGAURCAAAAAGAGUGAGAUUUAGCAGAACUAAUAUACAUGUUGCAUCAGAUAUAUCAGGACCAUACUUCCAGACAUCGAGUGCUGAACCGUCGUAUGGACUUACUGCUAUGCCGGAGAUUUCGACCCCGACACCGCUAUCCCGGGAGGAAUUACAGACUGAUCAGGAAGCUCGGCAAAAGCCUAAGGGAUAGGUUAGUCGGUCCCUGGACCAUUCAUAAUCAACCUCUUGCUAUGACCAGCAGCCCUGAAAUACCGAUCGUAUCAGUGAGGACUGAGGUCCCAUUGYCUAUCUUUUCCAUGUGGGAUGAUGCGUUUUCGGAGAAACCAAAAAAAACCACGAGCAUUUCUUUUCAAACUGAAACGCUCUUGAAUUCUUAGGAUGAAAAGUGCUGAAAUGCUGCGCGCAUCCGCAAACUUUCUAAAGUACUUUCGUUUCAUUCCAAAGAUGAAAACGUAAAAUGACGUCAUAUAUAAAGACGGUAAUUCCACGAAACAUACCCCGGCCUUCCCUGCUAGCAGAGUCUCUUCUCUUUCUCUCCCUUCUUUUAGGCGGGGAGAAAGGAGACUGCCGAUGUAGAGCGUUUCCUCUGAUAUACCGCCGUCCAAGAUCGUGGACAAAAUGGAACCAGUUUCAAAACCGGUUUUUAACCGGGUACAUGUAGUGCGCAUGAGCAAAUGUAACACACCGUGGCGCCAAACGUUGUUUGACGAGAGCGGCUGUCAAAAUCAUAGUAGAUAAUAGAUGCUCUGACUUCUUGUCCGAUUAUCUGAACAGCUCAUGUCUAUUUUUAGAAUAACCCUCUACUGAAGCCAUCUUCAAGAUUACCUUCUUUCUCCUGGCAAUUGGAUAAUAGGUUAUGUCUAUUUUUAGAAGUUCGAAUGGGUCAUAUCCAUUGUAAGAAUUUUUUUCCUCAAAUUUCUUCUGGUUUGAUAUUUUGAUCUAUUGAUUGCCACUCCGUUUCGCCUCACUGCGACAGCCGCGUUCGAUAUGUAAAUAAUAAUCGAACUUCACGCAUCGGGUAUAUCGAUCAAGGUUUGGAAACUCAAUAGGACAAAGCUAUUGUUUUGUCUUUGAUGUUGAAUCGUACCAUCACUUGAUACUGACCGUGCACAAUGAACCAAAGCAAGUAUAGCUAAAAAUAAGCAUUUCCUUAUUAUUUUCAUGUAUGAACAUUUGAAAGUGAAAACUUUCAUUGGAUGACCACGUACUAUGCGAUUAAAUAUUUCCGCGCAAA